AUACCACUACACUGCGACUGUGACUUCGGGGUGUUACUGUUAUGUUAUUAUUGUAACUGUCUCUGCGUUGUGUUCAUGUUAGACCAUGAAUCGAAAGGAUUCUCGAAUUGUGAACUUCCUCGAAAGCCCUAUUGUUUACACCAUUGUUAUUGUGACUAGUUUUCAACCUCCUUUGCAUGGCUGAAACCCCAUUGAGGAGGAAGGAGUUCAAUGGUAUGCUAGUAGCAGGAAAGACCUGGACAGUUUACUGGAAAACAACAACACACAAGCCAUUGUGGAACGGUGGGAAAGGUCUGUGAGAAUUAAAAAGAGCCAAACAGGCAGAAGAAAAACGAUUGAGUGAAAUUGGUAAAGAAAUUAAGAAGGUGGAAGAAAUGAAAUCGAUGUGAAUGUGUCAAAAGAACGACCUAGACAAUAUGGAUGAAGGCAUGGCCUUGGCUUGACGAGAUAUGGGAGCAGUAACAAAAGACCUGCUGAACAUUCAGAAGUCUAUAACUAGUUUAGAAGCAAAUAUUGGAAAAGUAAGAAGACAAUAUGAAUGAAGGCAUGGCCUUGGCUCGACAAGAUAUGGGAGCAGUAACAAAAGACCUGCUGAACAUUCAGAAGUCUAUGGGGCUCUUCGGGAUCUGUUUUAUUUAGCC
rnacentral:lncRNA from 1 species